rnacentral:rRNA from 1 species
CAAUAGCGUAUAUUAAAGUUGUUGCAGUUAAAAAGCUCGUAGUUGGAUUUGUGGCGUACGGUGUGUUCCGGGCACUUGUUGUCUGAGUAACCUGCUGUUGCCAUCCUUGGGUGGAACCUGUGUGGCAUUAGGUUGUCGUGCAGGGGAUGCCCAUCAUUUACUGUGAAAAAAUUAGAGUGUUCAAAGCAGGCUUAUGCCGUUGAAUAUAUUAGCAUGGAGUAAUGAGAUAGGACUUUUUUGCUAUUUUGUUGGUUUGCGCAAAGAGGUAAUGAUUAAUAGGGACAGUUGGGGGUAUUCGUAUUCCAUUGUCAGAGGUGAAAUUCUUGGAUUUUUGGAAGACGAACUACUGCGAAAGCAUUUACCAAGGAUGUUUUCAUUAA